UGGGUCCGUGAACUUCCCGGAGGCGCAAUGAGCUGCGUUAACCUGCCCACCGUGCUGCCCAGCUCCCCCAGCAAGACCCGGGGGCAGAUCCAGGUGCGGGGACCAGCCCUGCGCGUGGCUGGGGAUGAGGGGGUCGUGGUGGUAGCCUGUGCCCAGGCAUCCGCGCAGGGCGGGCCCUCAAAUGACCUCACCUUCUCUCCUAGGUGAUUCUCGGGCCGAUGUUCUCAGGAAAAAGCACGGAGUUGAUGAGACGCGUCCGUCGCUUCCAGAUUGCUCAGUACAAGUGCCUGGUGAUCAAGUACGCCAAAGACACUCGCUACAGCAGCAGCUUCUGCACACAUGACCGGAACACCAUGGAGGCGCUGCCCGCCUGCCUGCUCCGAGACGUGGCCCAGGAGGCCCUGGGCGUGACUGUCAUAGGCAUCGAUGAGGGGCAGUUUUUCCCUGACAUCGUGGAGUUCUGCGAGGCCAUGGCCAACGCCGGGAAGACCGUAAUUGUGGCUGCACUGGAUGGGACCUUCCAGAGGAAGCCAUUUGGGGCCAUCCUGAACCUGGUGCCGCUGGCUGAGAGCGUGGUGAAGCUGACCGCGGUGUGCAUGGAGUGCUUCCGGGAAGCCGCCUACACCAAGAG
rnacentral:sRNA from 1 species